rnacentral:lncRNA from 1 species
GAGGGCGGCCGCGCUUCAGGCCGGGCCGCGCGGUCUCCCCUGCACCGCCGCCCCCUGGACGAGGGCUGGACCCAAGGCGGUGGUCAGGGACCUCAGAACACAAGUAGAACCAGUCCAGGCCCGGGCCCGCGCUGCCCGGUUGUAGGGGUUGCAUUGGAAGAUGGGCCAGCGGCAGAGCGGAGCAUGCAGGAAAGAGGAAGAGGCCUUGGACCUGCAGCCCAGGUCGGAUUUGGUGGUUACUGUCUAAAUCUGAAGCUUUGGCCUGCCUUGACUCCCCACCCACCCAGGGCAGCUUGGACCUCUCUCUAGCCACCCUUGUCCCGAGGGGUCUGAGUGUCUCCCAGACUAAACUGGGCAUUUUCUGCAGUGGAAGGAUAAAAAUGGAAGCGUUUACGCGCCUCCCAGACACUGGUAUUAGGGCUCAAGAGCUCUACAGAUUGCCUGGGGAGGUAGGGGUGGAAGGGGUUCAGUUCCUCACUUGGAGUUAGCUCUUAGAAGCUCAGAAGAGUGGAGGCGAAGAGGGGACAUUCAGCCUGGGAGAUCUGGGGCAGCGGGAAGUGGGGAUACCGGGUCGGGGUGAAGGCAAGCAGCAGCACCCCCAGCAUGGGGAAGAAGGCCUGAGGCUGUCUCUGGCCACUGCAUCUCUGUCAGGCCAGCUCCUCUGCAGGUCUCAGUCCUGUUUAUUGCCUUGAGGAUCACCAUCAUGGACCAAGCAGUUUCCCAGCAUGGAUCCUGGCCCUUCUUAUACUCAGCCUCCAGACCCUUAUGUGGGGAGCUGGGGCUAAAGUCUAUAAGCUGUGUUCCUGGAGUUCCAGAGUCACUACUAGACUACGAAGGAGCAAAGCAUGGAGUCGUCUUGCUCUUUCGAGGACUUAGGAGGGGAAAAUGGAAACUUGAUUAAGGAGAACUUCUCCUGGGUUCAUCUAUGGUGGCAGCAUGGAGUUUUGUAAUAUACC